AUUGAACGCUGGCGGCAGGUCUAACACAUGCCAGUCGAGCGGAUGAAGGGAGCUUGCUCCUGGAUUCAGCGGCGGACGGGUGAGUAAUGCCUAGGAAUCUGCCUGGUAGUGGGGGAUAACGUCCGGAAACGGGCGCUAAUACCGCAUACGUCCUGAGGGAGAAAGUGGGGGAUCUUCGGACCUCACGCUAUCAGAUGAGCCUAGGUCGGAUUAGCUAGUUGGUGGGGUAAAGGCCUACCAAGGCGACGAUCCGUAACUGGUCUGAGAGGAUGAUCAGUCACACUGGAACUGAGACACGGUCCAGACUCCUACGGGAGGCAGCAGUGGGGAAUAUUGGACAAUGGGCGAAAGCCUGAUCCAGCCAUGCCGCGUGUGUGAAGAAGGUCUUCGGAUUGUAAAGCACUUUAAGUUGGGAGGAAGGGCAGUAAGUUAAUACCUUGCUGUUUUGACGUUACCAACAGAAUAAGCACCGGCUAACUUCGUG
rnacentral:rRNA from 1 species